GACGAACGCUGGCGGCGUGCUUAACACAUGCAAGUCGAACGAGAUCGGAACUUCGGUUCCAAUGAUCGAGUGGCGAACGGGUGAGUAACACGUGAGAAACCUGCCCCGGAGACUGGGAUAACUCGAGGAAACUCAAGCUAAUACCGGAUACCUUCCGAGCACCGCAUGGUGCACGGAAGAAAUGGUCCGCUGCUCUGGGAGGGUCUCGCGGCCUAUCAGCUUGUUGGUGAGGUAACGGCUCACCAAGGCAUCGACGGGUAGCUGGUCUGAGAGGACGAUCAGCCACACUGGGACUGAGACACGGCCCAGACUCCUACGGGAGGCAGCAGUGGGGAAUCUUGCGCAAUGGGCGAAAGCCUGACGCAGCAACGCCGCGUGAGGGAAGACGGCUCUCGGGUUGUAAACCUCUUUCAGCAGGGACGAAACUGACGGUACCUGCAGAAGAAGCGCCGGCCAACUACGUGCCAGCAGCCGCGGUAACACGUAGGGCGCAAGCGUUGUCCGGAUUUAUUGGGCGUAAAGAGCUCGUAGGCGGUUUCGUAAGUCGGGUGUGAAAACUCAGGGCUCAACCCUGAGACGCCACUCGAUACUGCGAUGACUAGAGUCCGGUAGAGGAGCAUGGAAUUCCUGGUGUAGCGGUGAAAUGCGCAGAUAUCAGGAGGAACACCAGUAGCGAAGGCGGUGCUCUGGGCCGGUACUGACGCUGAGGAGCGAAAGCGUGGGGAGCAACCAGGAUUAGAUACCCUGGUAGUCCACGCCGUAAACGUUGGGCACUAGGUGUGGGUCUCAUCCAACGAGAUCUGUGCCGUAGCUAACGCAUUAAGUGCCCCGCCUGGGGAGUACGGCCGCAAGGCUAAAACUCAAAGGAAUUGACGG
rnacentral:rRNA from 1 species